GUUUGAUCCUGGCUCAGAGCGAACGCUAGCGGCAGGCUUAACACAUGCAAGUCGAACGGGCUUCUUCGGAAGUCAGUGGCAGACGGGUGAGUAACACGUGGGAACGUGCCCUUCGGUUCGGAAUAACUCAGGGAAACUUGAGCUAAUACCGGAUACGCCCUUUUGGGGAAAGGUUGACUGCCGAAGGAUCGGCCCGCGUCUGAUUAGCUUGUUGGUGGGGUAACGGCCUACCAAGGCGACGAUCAGUAGCUG
rnacentral:rRNA from 1 species